GUCGUAAAUUUACUCGAUUUUAGAUAAUAGCCCUUUCACGGCGGUAACCGGGGUUCGAAUCCCCGUGGGGACGCCA
rnacentral:tRNA from 1 species